UACGUAGGGCGCAAGCGUUGUCCGGAAUCAUUGGGCGUAAAGGGCGCGUAGGUGGCGGGACAAGCGUGCGGUGAAAGCUCGGGGCUCAACCCCGCGUCGGCCGUGCGAACUGUUUUGCUUGAGCACUGUAGAGGCAGGCGGAAUUCCGGGUGUAGCGGUGGAAUGCGUAGAGAUCCGGAAGAACACCGGUGGCGAAAGCGGCGCACUGGACCACAUCUGACGCUGAGGCGCGAAAGCUAGGGGAGCAAACAGG
rnacentral:rRNA from 1 species